CCUACGGGGGGCAGCAGUGGGGAAUAUUGCGCAAUGGGCGAAAGCCUGACGCAGCGACGCCGCGUGCGGGAUGAAGGUCUUCGGAUCGUAAACCUCUGUCAGCAGGGAAGAACGGUCACUGUGCUAAUCAGCAGUGAAUUGACGGUACCUGCAAAGGAAGCACCGGCUAACUCCGUGCCAGCAGCCGCGGUAAUACGGAGGGUGCGAGCGUUAAUCGGAAUUACUGGGCGUAAGGCGCUCGUAGGCGGUAUGUCAAGUCAAGGGUGAAAUCCCCGCGCUCAACGUGGGAACUGCCUUUGAAACUGGCAAACUGGAGUGUGUGAGAGGAUAGUGGAAUUCCAGGGGUAGGAGUGAAAUGCGUAGAUAUCUGGAGGAACAUCAGUGGCGAAGGCGACUAUCUGGCACAUAACUGACGCUGAGGAGCGAAAGCGUGGGUAGCAAACAGGAUUAGAUACCCCUGUAGUC
rnacentral:rRNA from 1 species